ensembl:lncRNA
CACUACGGAACAAACAACGUCAAACACAAUGCCCAAAACGAUAACCUAUGUAAAUGAGAAAUAUAACAAUUCUGAAGCAUAUCCUGUCAUGCUUUCUACAACGCAAUACAACCAUACUAACAACAAAAAUAAUAUGUUUAACAACACAGAAAAAAUAAAAAACAUGGUGCCAUUAUCUGAGAAUAACAAACAUGAUCAUGUAAUCCUGACAGGUGCUAGUGUAGCUCAGACAGAUGCAAAUGUAACCCAUAUAGAUGCAAAUGUAACCCAUAUAGAUGCAAAUGUAGCCCAUAUAGAUGCUCAGAUACCCGCCAGUCACACUAAUACACCCACCACUGAUACAUUGACUACUGCCAAAACCAUAAAUAACGAAAAUACAACUAAAACUAUCCCAAACGAAGAAAAUGAGAAUACAACAUUAACAAGAACAAAUAUUGAUUUAGAAAAAAAUUAUAAAAAUAGAAAAUAUUUAUUUGAAAUGACUUUAGCUGGUCAUACAUUUAACAAAUGUGGAUUCAAAAAAUUAGCUUUAUUUUGUUAUUCUAAAGUAUUAAAAAAAUACGAAAAAAAAAAAAUGAAACAUAUAUAUGAACAUUUACAUUUUAUGAUGGCUAGACAAGCGUUUAGCAUAAAUCUCUAUUACGAAGCAGUUAAUCAUUAUAUUUGUAUUUUAAAUUCGAUUUCUAAAAAUUAUGAAAUUUCAUGUACUUUGAAUAAAAACGUCGAUAUUUAUUUUACAUCACCUGACAAAGAAAUUAACUUUAUAAGAGAAUUUGCUUAUGUAUAUAAAAUAUAUGUUGAUAAAAUAAUGAAUAAAUUUUUAAAAAAUACAAAGAAUAAACAACUAUCGGAUGAGUAUAAUGCUGCAUUUGGGAAUUCUAUCAAUAUCAGUAAUGCCACUGACGAAGAUAUAAAAAAUGUGAUCAUUAAACCGUUAAAUUUAAAAAUACCAUUUAUAAAUCAAAGAAACGAAGAAGGUCUAUUCAUGAAUGCAGUGUAUGUGUUCAAAACUGAUAUAUAUAAUUUUGAUAAAAUAAAUACUGUUAAUUAUUUUUCUAUAUACGAAAAAAAUAUAUAUAAAAAAAAUGUAGAUGAUGACACAACUUUGUAUGAUAUCUAUAUUAUUAUGAACAACAAUAAACCAGGUUAUUCAAAAAAUAUAUAUUACGAGUUCACAUAUUUGUAUAUUAUAUGUCAGAAAUUUAUUAACAGUGUUUAUAACAACACGAUUGAUUGUGGUGGUAGUGGCAGUGGCAGUGGCAGUGGUAAUAAUGAUACAUUGCAACAAAGUGAGCAACAGAAAAACCAAACAAACGCAGUAAGUACGCCGAAAAGCCAAACGCACAACACUAACACCGAUAACAAUACUAACACUGAUAACAACACUGACAUCGAUAAAAACACUAACACCGAUAACAACACUAACACCGAUAACAACAUUAACACCGA